rnacentral:rRNA from 1 species
GGUUUUAAACAGUUAGUCUUCAUAAGAGUCAAAUGCUUUUAUGUUUAAGGAUAAGCUGUGAAUGUACCAAGUUUACUUGGAAAUUGUGUGAUUUCACGCUGCUGAAAAAAGUUUCGUAGGAAGAAAAUAUUGCCCGUACCGCAAACCGACACAGGUACUCGAGUGGAGAACACUAAGGUGAGCGAGUGAACUAUUGUUAAGGAACUCUGCAAAAUGAGUCCGUAACUUCGGAAGAAGGACUGCUGGUUUUAUACCAGCCGCAGCAAAUAGGCCCAAACAACUGUUUAUCAAAAACACAGGUUUCUGCAAAAUCGUAAGAUGAAGUAUAGGGGCUGACGCCUGCCCAGUGCUGGAAGGUUAAAAGGAGGACUUAGCUUCGGCGAAGGUCUUAAUUGAAGCCCCAGUGAACGGCGGCCGUAACUAUAACGGUCCUAAGGUAGCGAAAUUCCUUGUCGGGUAAGUUCCGACCCGCAUGAAAGGCGUAAUGAUUUGGGCGCUGUCUCAACAAUAGACUCGGUGAAAUUUAAAUUCCAGUGAAGAUGCUGGGUACCCGCGACAGGACGGAAAGACCCCGUGGAGCUUUACUGUAGCUUGAUAUUGAAUGUUUGUGCUGCAUGUGCAGGAUAGGUAGGAGACUUUGAAGUCGGAACGCUAGUUUCGAUUGAGUCACCCUUGAGAUACUACCCCUGUUGUAUGAACGUUCUAACUCUGAUCAGUUAUCCUGAUCGAAGACAGUGUCUGGCAGGCAGUUUGACUGGGGCGGUCGCCUCCUAAAAGAUAACGGAGGCGCUCAAAGGUUUGCUCAGAAUGGUUGGAAAUCAUUCGUAGCGUGUAAAGGCAUAAGCAAGCUUGACUGUGAGACUGACAAGUCGAGCAGGUACGAAAGUAGGACUUAGUGAUCCGGUGGUUCCGUAUGGAAGGGCCAUCGCUCAACGGACAAAAGCUACCCCGGGGAUAACAGGCUCAUCUCCCCCAAGAGUCCACAUCGACGGGGAGGUUUGGCACCUCGAUGUCGGCUCAUCGCAUCCUGGGGCUGUAGUCGGUCCCAAGGGUUGGGCUGUUCGCCCAUUAAAGCGGUACGCGAGCUGGGUUCAGAACGUCGUGAGACAGUUCGGUCCCUAUCCGUCGUGGGCGCAGGAAAUUUGAGAGGAUCUGUCCUUAGUACGAGAGGACCGGGAUGGACAUACCUCUGGUGUACCAGUUGUUCUGCCAAGAGCACCGCUGGGUAGCUACGUAUGGAUUAGAUAAUCGCUGAAAGCAUCUAAGUGAGAAACUAACCUCGAGAUGAGAUUUCCCAUUCGUCAGAAGUAAGACCCCUGAGAGACGAUCAGGUAGAUAGGCUAGAAGUGGAAGUGUAGUGAUGCAUGGAGCGGACUAGUACUAAUAGGUCGAGGACUUAACCAAG